rnacentral:rRNA from 1 species
GCAGUCGAGCGCCCCUUCGGGGGAGCGGCAGACGGGUGAGUAAUGCAUGGGAAUCUACCCAGCUCUACGGAAUAACUCAGGGAAACUUGAACUAAUACCGUAUGCGCCCUUCGGGGGAAAGAUUUAUCGGAGUUGGAUGAGCCCAUGUCUGAUUAGCUAGUUGGUGGGGUAAAGGCCUACCAAGGCGACGAUCAGUAGCUGGUCUGAGAGGAUGAUCAGCCACACUGGGACUGAGACACGGCCCAGACUCCUACGGGAGGCAGCAGUGGGAAUAUUGGACAAUGGGGGCAACCCUGAUCCAGCCAUGCC